rnacentral:rRNA from 1 species
GACGAACGCUGGCGGCGUGCUUAACACAUGCAAGUCGAACGGAAAGGCCCUGCUUUUGUGGGGUGCUCGAGUGGCGAACGGGUGAGUAACACGUGAGUAACCUGCCCUUGACUUUGGGAUAACUUCAGGAAACUGGGGCUAAUACCAGAUAGGAGCUCCUGCUGCAUGGUGGGGGUUGGAAAGUUUCGGCGGGUGGGGAUGGACUCGCGGCUGAUCAGCUUGUUGGUGGGGUAGUGGCUUACCAAGGCUGUGACGGGUAGCCGGCCUGAGAGGGUGACCGGCCACAUUGGGACUGAGAGACGGCGCAGACUCCUACGGGAGGCAGCAGUGGGGAAUAUUGCACAAUGGGCGGAAGCCUGAUGCAGCAACGCCGCGUGCGGGAUGACGGCCUUCGGGUUGUAAACCGCUUUCGCCUGUGACGAAGCGUGAGUGACGGUAAUGGGUAAAGAAGCACCGGCUAACUACGUG